ACCCGUACCUAAAAUAAAAGGGCAAAAUUUGAACAAGUACUUGAAGAAAGCGUUUUGAAUAGUACUAGGCAGUAAGAAGUAGGCGAUUAGAGUUCAUCACGAGAUGAAGCGAAGGCGAGAAAACCUAAGAACGCGAAUUGAGCUUCAUCACAAACGAAGACUAGGUAAUGAAGAGUAAGGAAACUUUUGGGAAAUUUUGUAAGAAUACUUAAUGGGCUAGAUGUAAGGGAUUAAGUCAAGCAUGAUUAAGUUAUACGCGCACCAUUAAGAGUAGAAGUUGACAAGUUAUUAAGAGGCGUAGGAUGACUAAUCAAAUUUAGGACUAGUAUAAAUAAAGGAAGAUAUUAAUUGGAUUAUUUAAAGGUUACUUUGAAAAUUUGAAGAGGAAAAGCUCAGCGCUAAGUUGUUGUGGUGAAAGGACUAUUCGAGAAGAGGAAGUAUAGGAUCGUUCUAAUUUCAAAUCAACCAAGUUUUGUGAGUGAUUUUCUUUAUGUAUUUUAAAAUGUUAAAAGCUUUCUUUUAAGAUCUUGCUAAUUUGAAAUGAUAAGAAUGUUUUCAAAGAGAUUUCAAAUUCAAGUUUAUACUAUGUUUAAAGUAUAUUUAUGUAUUUUAAAUUAAUGUGAAAUUGUGUUCAAACCAUUAUGUCUGGUUCCUAUUAAUGAGCUAACUGUUAUGUGCAUAUAAAAAGUAAAGGAAGUCAUGCAGAAAAGGACUGCAUGAUGAAAUGAGGUGGGACAGUGCAUAAAAGAUGUGUAUUGCGCUUUAGUCUAAGCAAGGAGGAAAAGGCCAAGAUAUUCUUGGAUGCUUUUCAUAGUAGUUGAAAUGCCAGAUGAUGAGUCUUAGCGUGGAUGGUUUCAAAGUUCUCGACAAAAGGAUAAUAAGACUAAUGAAUGUUAUGCGAAUUGAUAUGUUAUGAAGUAAGGCAAUGGGCCUUUUUGAAUUAAAACUUUAUGCUAUGAAAAGUGUUUCCAGAAAAGUUUUCUUAAAACCUCACUAUGUCUAAUGUGACUUAUGUUUUAAAAGAUUUUCCUUCUAGGUGAUCAGCCGUUAAGAUCAAGUGUGAGAAAAGAAGGAAAAGGAAGCUAGGCGAGGAGGCUUGCAAGGAGUUUACUUAAAUUUGUUAUUGUUUGUAUCUAGAACUUAUUUGUAAAGGUGCAUGUAAAAUGUAUGGUUUAAGCUAAUAAAAGUUCAAGUUUGUAUUACCUUCCACUAUGUUAUGGUUCUCUAUUGCAUAGUAUUUUAAAAGUAUUUCAAGUUAUGUUUUAUCGCCUUAAGUUAAUGAUAUAAAUUGUAAGUUAAGUCAUUAGGCGAUUAACCAAAGCUUAAAGACUUAAGCUGAGCUUUCUAGUGUUUAAAUAUGUUGGGAAUGCUUAAGUCGUACAGCGUAACGCAACGCAUUAAGGUGCUUGAUUGCGGGACGAGAUGUGACAGUAUAAGUAAAAUAAAAUAAGAAACAAAAUUACUAGAAAAAGAAAGAAGAAAGUAAGAACAAACAAUGAAUAAAAAGGUAGAUAAACAAGAUAUGAAACAAUGUACAUAAAAAAUAAAUUUAUUAUAAGAAAAAGAAAAAGGUAGAAAUAGAAUGAUAAAAAAUAUGGAGAAAAAAUAUAAUAUUAAAUAACACAUAAAAAUAAGAAAAUACUCAAGAAACAACAAUGGAAAAAAGACUUAAAUAAAAAAAGUGCUAAUUAUAAAGAAAUUAAAAAUACAUAUAUAAGGAAUAAACUUUAAUAAUAAAUUAAGAAAAAGAAAGAAAUAAUAAUAAAUAAAUAAAAAGAGAUUUAACAAUAAGAUAUGGAGAAAUAUGUAUAAAUAAAUAAAUAAAAGAGAGAUUCACAAGCAAACAAAAAAAAAAUGUUGAAAUUCAAAACAUUGAAUGGAUCAUUAUUGGGCCAAAAUCCUACCAUACUUAGAGUUUUUUUCUUGUGUAUUGGAUUCAUGACAUUGUAGAGAGUUUUUUGGAGGAUGAUAAAGAUCUAGAGAUUUGUUAGAAGAGAAAACAAAGUAAAUGUGUAAUAUUUUGGUUUUUUUAGAAGAGACGAAGGCUAACAGAAGCAGAGGCUAUUGAGGUUAGAGGUUUGAAUGAAGAAGAGGGAUCGUGAAAGUUGAAAAAAUCUCUUGAAUUUUUUUUUGUUGUGUCUAC
rnacentral:lncRNA from 1 species